CAACAAUAGAUGAGAAUGGGAAAGUUAUUAUAAAACCAUCUGGUACUGGGCUAGUUCCUGCCAAAGAAGUUGCUGGUGCCAUUAAUUAUGCGAUACGCAAACAAUUUUAUAAACCUAUACAUCAUUGGUCUGCACUCGAUCCUGAUACGAAAGCUGAUUGGUUUAAGUUGUUUGGAGAGAAGGUUUCGUGGGAUCCUUUCGAUCAUGCAUUUGUCUAUAGCGCAUUUGAAAAAAAAGGAAGAAAA